rnacentral:rRNA from 1 species
GCUAGAGUGGCGAACGGGUGAGUAACACGUGAGUAACCUGCCCUUGACUUUGGGAUAACUUCAGGAAGCUGGGGCUAAUACCGGAUAGGAGCUCCUGCUGCAUGGUGGGGGUUGGAAAGUUUCGGCGGUUGGGGAUGGGCUCGCGGCUUAUCAGCUUGUUGGUGGGGUAGUGGCUUACCAAGGCUUUGACGGGUAGCCGGCCUGAGAGGGUGACCGGCCACAUUGGGACUGAGAUACGGCCCAG